GGCUCUGUGGCUCAGUGGUAGAGUGCUUGCCUUGCAUGCAUAAGGCCCUGGGUUCCAUUCCUAGGCACCACCU
rnacentral:tRNA from 1 species